GUGGGCGUAGCUCAGUUGGUAGAGCCCCUGACUGUGACUCAGGUUGUCGUGGGUUCGAGCCCCAUCGUCCACCCCU
rnacentral:tRNA from 1 species